GGAACACCUUCAUCCACUUUGAUGGCAACCGGACGCCAGUCAUGUUGAGAGUACUCACUGUUGUGUUCCUCCCCAAAGCGCAUGCAACUCUCUCCGAAGCAGAGGGCUUCAGUUUGUGAAUUCUCAGCGUACGAGUUUCGGGUAUGAACUCUGCCACCUUUGAUCUCAUGUUCUUGCCCUCCCUGUUCCAUAUGUGCACUGACAUUGCCCGGUUUCUCGCCAGUACCGCAGCAAUCACCGGCGCCAUUGAGGCGGAAUUUUCAUCUUCUAAAAUUAUAUGUUUAAGUGACGAGUUUAUCUCGAUCAUUUGUGACAGUUCUUCCGCAGCUUGGGAGCCCACAGUGGCCCCCCAUAUUUGGAGCUCCUCCAGGGUCUCGUUCCUCCUCAGGGCGGAAGAAAGGCACCCCACUUCGAAGGCCCCGAUUCUGCAUUCUGAGAAUGUAAUUGCUUUGAUUCUGCGGUCCGCUCUCAGUAUUUCUGCAAGCAGAGAGAAGCCCUGCACCCCAAAAGCGUUCCUCCGAAACACAAGCGUCACUCUGGCUGUUCUCUUGUCAACCAGGGAACCAAGAUGCCUAAGCUCCUCCAAUCCCCAUUCGACACCGUGGAAUUCCAGGCUUUGCAUAGGCUCGAGGGUCUCUCUCUCCACCGCCAUUGCUGAGAGGAUCUGAGAGAAAAGACUGGCGCCGUCUUCUCCAGCUGAUAUUUUGAUGGUCAUGGAGUUCUCUCUCUCUUGGUAAGCGCCGGAGCUCCCCUGCUGGAGGUAGAAGGAAACGCUCUGCAGUAGGAUCUCUCCUGAUCUGAUUUCCUGCAGAGCCCAGUUCAGAUCCUUGAUACUCUGGUUGGUGGGCGUGGGUUCUUCAGCCGUCCUCGGCAGUGCCUCUUCUUCUUGCCCUUGUUGCCGGUGGAGUAGCCCACGGGGGAGCCUGAAUCUGCAGGAUGAAGAGAUCAUGUCUGAACCCUCUGGUUUUACUUCUGUUGGCAAUAUUUUUUCAAAGCCUCAGCUUUGAUCCUCGGGCUGCCCAGCUGGUUUUCCUUCGGGUACCUGGUGAGUAUCGCUCUUGCCAGUUUUUCUUUCUUUUUUUUUUCUUUUUUUUCUACUUUCUUCCUACGAUGCCUACUCGCCCUCUCCUUCCUUGUUCUUUCUUUGUCUGCGAACAAUCUUUUUAGGCAUGUGGAGAGCGUCUCAUGGUCAUUCUUUUACCCACGAAGGAUGUGUUAUUUGCUGGCCGAGCAGGGAAAGGAAAAGGUGAGCAGCAGAAGAUGAAGUAAGCUCCCACCACUUCUCUCUCUCUCUCUCUCUCGUCGCUAUA
rnacentral:lncRNA from 1 species